rnacentral:rRNA from 1 species
GACGAACGCUGGCGGCGUGCCUAAUACAUGCAAGUCGAACGCUUUUUCUUUCACCGGAGCUUGCUCCAUCGAAAGAAAAAGAGUGGCGAACGGGUGAGUAACACGUGGGUAACCUGCCCAUCAGAAGGGGAUAACACUUGGAAACAGGUGCUAAUACCGUAUAACACUAUUUUCCGCAUGGAAGAAAGUUGAAAGGCGCUUUUGCGUCACUGAUGGAUGGACCCGGGGUGCAUUAGCUAGUUGGUGAGGUAACGGCUCACCAAGGCAACGAUGCAUAGCCGACCUGAGAGGGUGAUCGGCCACACUGGGACUGAGACACGGCCCAGACUCCUACGGGAGGCAGCAGUAGGGAAUCUUCGGCAAUGGACGAAAGUCUGACCGAGCAACGCCGCGUGAGUGAAGAAGGUUUUCGGAUCGUAAAACUCUGUUGUUAGAGAAGAACAAGGAUGAGAGUAAAAUGUUCAUCCCUUGACAGUAUCUAACCAGAAAGCCACGGCUAACUACGUGCCAGCAGCCGCGGUAA